AAGUCGUAACAAGGUAACCGUAGGUGAACCUGCGGUUGGAUCAUUAACAAAUUCAAGAUGAGCGCACUGUGACUUUACGGUCCAGUGUUGUUUAUUUUACCCCAAACUGUUGAACUGUACUGUAUCUGGCGGGUUAAAACAAGUCGAGUAACAUUGGCUUGGUUCUCUUCAGAGAUCACCCGCCGUUAUUUUAAACUAUAUUAUUUUCUACUGGUCAUCUUGUAUUGUUUUUUAAAAACAUUUAAACAAAACAACUUUUGGCAACGGAUCUCUAGGCUCUU
rnacentral:misc_RNA from 1 species